rnacentral:lncRNA from 1 species
AGGAAGCUUAUUAUCCAAAAUCUAUAUUCACAAAAACAUAAAGGGCAACAUAGCCAUCACUGCAAGAAAUUUAUCCUUGCUUUUGCUAAACCAUUACCCCAAACUAAAAUUGUAUAUAGCUUUGAAAAGCACCAUAAUUAAAUAGUAGGUACCACUUAUUGGCCCAGGUGUACAGGGCUACACUUUUAACUAUUUACAAGGUAAAUAUUACUCCCCAUUUUACAAUGAGAAAAACGAGUAAGACAGACAGGUCUCCCCAGCUGUAACUGAAGCCGAAAUUCAUGACUGGACCCUUACAUGGCCACUACCUUCAUUCACUCUUGAAGAAUUUAAGCAAAUAAAUAGCACAAACAUUUUUCUAACAAAACCACUUUUAUUUUUAAAUCAUUUUUACUAUCAAAUACAGAACAAAACUCAGUGUGGAGGCAGUGUUCACUUGAUUUCGACUCAUCUGUAUUAAAGGCUCAUGUAACCUGCAACUCUACCUUUGUGCAUAAAUGUUCACUGAAAAAUAACCUAAAUAUAGACUCCCUUUGAUAGUAUCUUAAGUCACUAGCACUAUUUAAGGCCAAAAAUUUCUUAAUCCCUUUUGAGAAAUUAGCAUACUUUGUAUUCAGAGACUAAAAGGGAAUAGAAUGAGUAAAAAAAAAAAAAAUCAUACUCCAACUUGGAUAAAAGCUACAAUUCCAAGUCUCAUUUUCCCCUUAACCCCGGCCACUCAAACACUACUCAUUUCAUAAAUGAAUAAAUAUACUAUUUAGUACUGUACAGUAGAUACAUACCAUUGAGUUUCUAUACUAUUCCAGAAAAGUUAAGUUUAUAUUCA